UACGUAGGGGCCGAGCGUUGUCCGGAGUUAUUGGGCGUAAAGCGUGCGCAGGCGGCUUUGCAAGACAGAUGUGAAAUCCCCGGGCUUAACCUGGGAACUGCAUUUGUGACUGCAUGGCUAGAGUGCGGCAGAGGGGGAUGGAAUUCCGCGUGUAGCAGUGAAAUGCGUAGAUAUGCGGAGGAACACCGAUGGCGAAGGCAAUCCCCUGGGCCUGCACUGACGCUCAUGCACGAAAGCGUGGGGAGCAAACGGG
rnacentral:rRNA from 1 species